rfam:Bacillus akibai JCM 9157 DNA, contig:contig_43.
AAACGACUACAACCGCACAGAGCAGGUUUUAAAUGACUUUUGUCUACCUAGGAUGGCGAGUCUGAGUAUAUGA